rnacentral:rRNA from 1 species
UACGGGGGGGGCAAGCAUUGUUCGGAAUUACUGGGCGUAAAGGGCUCGUAGGUGGCCAACUAAGUCAGACGUGAAAUCCCUCGGCUUAACCGGGGAACUGCGUCUGAUACUGGAUGGCUUGAGUUUGGGAGAGGGACGCGGAAUUCCAGGUGUAGCGGUGAAAUGCGUAGAUAUCUGGAGGAACACCGGUGGCGAAGGCGGCGUCCUGGACCAACACUGACACUGAGGAGCGAAAGCCUGGGGAGCAAACGGG